AGGCAGCAGUAAGGAAUAUUGGUCAAUGGACGCAAGUCUGAACCAGCCAUGCCGCGUGAAGGAUGAAGGCCCUCUGGGUUGUAAACUUCUUUUAUCUGGGACGAAAAACGGGCUUUCUAGCUCACUUGACGGUACCAGAGGAAUAAGCACCGGCUAACUCCGUGCCAGCAGCCGCGGUAAUACGGAGGGUGCAAGCGUUAUCCGGAUUUACUGGGUUUAAAGGGUGCGUAGGUGGGUCUGUAAGUCAGUGGUGAAAUCUCCGGGCUUAACUCGGAAACUGCCAUUGAUACUAUAGGUCUUGAAUUAUCUGGAGGUAAGCGGAAUAUGUCAUGUAGCGGUGAAAUGCUUAGAUAUGACAUAGAACACCAAUUGCGAAGGCAGCUUACUACGGAUUGAUUGACACUGAGGCACGAAAGCGUGGGGAUCAAACAGGAUUAGAUACCCUGGUAG
rnacentral:rRNA from 1 species